rnacentral:rRNA from 1 species
GGGACACGUGGUAUCCUGUCUGAAUAUGGGGGGACCAUCCUCCAAGGCUAAAUACUCCUGACUGACCGAUAGUGAACCAGUACCGUGAGGGAAAGGCGAAAAGAACCCCGGCGAGGGGAGUGAAAAAGAACCUGAAACCGUGUACGUACAAGCAGUGGGAGCACGCUUAGGCGUGUGACUGCGUACCUUUUGUAUAAUGGGUCAGCGACUUAUAUUCUGUAGCAAGGUUAACCGAAUAGGGGAGCCGAAGGGAAACCGAGUCUUAACUGGGCGUUAAGUUGCAGGGUAUAGACCCGAAACCCGGUGAUCUAGCCAUGGGCAGGUUGAAGGUUGGGUAACACUAACUGGAGGACCGAACCGACUAAUGUUGAAAAAUUAGCGGAUGACUUGUGGCUGGGGGUGAAAGGCCAAUCAAACCGGGAGAUAGCUGGUUCUCCCCGAAAGCUAUUUAGGUAGCGCCUCGUGAAUUCAUCUCCGGGGGUAGAGCACUGUUUCGGCAAGGGGGUCAUCCCGACUUACCAACCCGAUGCAAACUGCGAAUACCGGAGAAUGUUAUCACGGGAGACACACGGCGGGUGCUAACGUCCGUCGUGAAGAGGGAAACAACCCAGACCGCCAGCUAAGGUCCCAAAGUCAUGGUUAAGUGGGAAACGAUGUGGGAAGGCCCAGACAGCCAGGAUGUUGGCUUAGAAGCAGCCAUCAUUUAAAGAAAGCGUAAUAGCUCACUGGUCGAGUCGGCCUGCGCGGAAGAUGUAACGGGGCUAAACCAUGCACCGAAGCUGCGGCAGCGACGCUUAUGCGUUGUUGGGUAGGGGAGCGUUCUGUAAGCCUGUGAAGGUGUGCUGUGAGGCAUGCUGGAGGUAUCAGAAGUGCGAAUGCUGACAUAAGUAACGAUAAAGCGGGUGAAAAGCCCGCUCGCCGGAAGACCAAGGGUUCCUGUCCAACGUUAAUCGGGGCAGGGUGAGUCGACCCCUAAGGCGAGGCCGAAAGGCGUAGUCGAUGGGAAACAGGUUAAUAUUCCUGUACUUGGUGUUACUGCGAAGGGGGGACGGAGAAGGCUAUGUUGGCCGGGCGACGGUUGUCCCGGUUUAAGCGUGUAGGCUGGUUUUCCAGGCAAAUCCGGAAAAUCAAGGCUGAGGCGUGAUGACGAGGCACUACGGUGCUGAAGCAACAAAUGCCCUGCUUCCAGGAAAAGCCUCUAAGCAUCAGGUAACAUCAAAUCGUACCCCAAACCGACACAGGUGGUCAGGUAGAGAAUACCAAGGCGCUUGAGAGAACUCGGGUGAAGGAACUAGGCAAAAUGGUGCCGUAACUUCGGGAGAAGGCACGCUGAUACGUAGGUGAAGUCCCUCGCGGAUGGAGCUGAAAUCAGUCGAAGAUACCAGCUGGCUGCAACUGUUUAUUAAAAACACAGCACUGUGCAAACACGAAAGUGGACGUAUACGGUGUGACGCCUGCCCGGUGCCGGAAGGUUAAUUGAUGGGGUCAGCGCAAGCGAAGCUCUUGAUCGAAGCCCCGGUAAACGGCGGCCGUAACUAUAACGGUCCUAAGGUAGCGAAAUUCCUUGUCGGGUAAGUUCCGACCUGCACGAAUGGCGUAAUGAUGGCCAGGCUGUCUCCACCCGAGACUCAGUGAAAUUGAACUCGCUGUGAAGAUGCAGUGUACCCGCGGCAAGACGGAAAGACCCCGUGAACCUUUACUAUAGCUUGACACUGAACAUUGAGCCUUGAUGUGUAGGAUAGGUGGGAGGCUUGGAAGUGUGGACGCCAGUCUGCAUGGAGCCGACCUUGAAAUACCACCCUUUAAUGUUUGAUGUUCUAACGUUGACCCGUAAUCCGGGUUGCGGACAGUGUCUGGUGGGUAGUUUGACUGGGGCGGUCUCCUCCUAAAGAGUAACGGAGGAGCACGAAGGUUGGCUAAUCCUGGUCGGACAUCAGGAGGUUAGUGCAAUGGCAUAAGCCAGCUUGACUGCGAGCGUGACGGCGCGAGCAGGUGCGAAAGCAGGUCAUAGUGAUCCGGUGGUUCUGAAUGGAAGGGCCAUCGCUCAACGGAUAAAAGGUACUCCGGGGAUAACAGGCUGAUACCGCCCAAGAGUUCAUAUCGACGGCGGUGUUUGGCACCUCGAUGUCGGCUCAUCACAUCCUGGGGCUGAAGUAGGUCCCAAGGGUAUGGCUGUUCGCCAUUUAAAGUGGUACGCGAGCUGGGUUUAGAACGUCGUGAGACAGUUCGGUCCCUAUCUGCCGUGGGCGCUGGAGAACUGAGGGGGGCUGCUCCUAGUACGAGAGGACCGGAGUGGACGCAUCACUGGUGUUCGGGUUGUCAUGCCAAUGGCACUGCCCGGUAGCUAAAUGCGGAAGAGAUAAGUGCUGAAAGCAUCUAAGCACGAAACUUGCCCCGAGAUGAGUUCUCCCUGACUCCUUGAGAGUCCUGAAGGAACGUUGAAGACGACGACGUUGAUAGGCCGGGUGUGUAAGCGCAGCGAUGCGUUGAGCUAACCGGUACUAAUGAACCGUGAG